rnacentral:rRNA from 1 species
AGAGUUUGAUCCUGGCUCAGGACGAACGCUGGCGGCGUGCCUAAUACAUGCAAGUAGAACGCUGAAGAGAGGAGCUUGCUCUUCUUGGAUGAGUUGCGAACGGGCGAGUAACGCGUAGGUAACCUGCCUUGUAGCGGGGGAUAACUAUUGGAAACGAUAGCUAAUACCGCAUAACAAUGGAUGACACAUGUCAUUUAUUUGAAAGGGGCAAUUGCUCCACUACAAGAUGGACCUGCGUUGUAUUAGCUAGUAGGUGAGGUAACGGCUCACCUAGGCGACGAUACAUAGCCGACCUGAGAGGGUGAUCGGCCACACUGGGACUGAGACACGGCCCAGACUCCUACGGGAGGCAGCAGUAGGGAAUCUUCGGCAAUGGGGGCAACCCUGACCGAGCAACGCCGCGUGAGUGAAGAAGGUUUUCGGAUCGUAAAGCUCUGUUGUAAGUCAAGAACGAGUGUGAGAGUGGAAAGUUCACACUGUGACGGUAGCUUACCAGAAAGGGACGGCUAACUACGUGCCAGCAGCCGCGGUAAUACGUAGGUCCCGAGCGUUGUCCGGAUUUAUUGGGCGUAAAGCGAGCGCAGGCGGUUUGAUAAGUCUGAAGUUAAAGGCUGUGGCUCAACCAUAGUUCGCUUUGGAAACUGUCAAACUUGAGUGCAGAAGGGGAGAGUGGAAUUCCAUGUGUAGCGGUGAAACGCGUAGAUAUAUGGAGGAACACCGGUGGCGAAAGCGGCUCUCUGGUCUGUAACUGACGCUGAGGCUCGAAAGCGUGGGGAGCGAACAGGAUUAGAUACCCUGGCAGUCCACGCCGUAAACGAUGAGUGCUAGGUGUUGGAUCCUUUCCGGGAUUCAGUGCCGCAGCUAACGCAUUAAGCACUCCGCCUGGGGAGUACGACCGCAAGGUUGAAACUCAAAGGAAUUGACGGGGGCCCGCACAAGCGGUGGAGCAUGUGGUUUAAUUCGAAGCAACGCGAAGAACCUUACCAGGUCUUGACAUCCCGAUGCUAUUUCUAGAGAUAGAAAGUUACUUCGGUACAUCGGUGACAGGUGGUGCAUGGUUGUCGUCAGCUCGUGUCGUGAGAUGUUGGGUUAAGUCCCGCAACGAGCGCAACCCCUAUUGUUAGUUGCCAUCAUUCAGUUGGGCACUCUAGCGAGACUGCCGGUAAUAAACCGGAGGAAGGUGGGGAUGACGUCAAAUCAUCAUGCCCCUUAUGACCUGGGCUACACACGUGCUACAAUGGUUGGUACAACGAGUUGCGAGUCGGUGACGGCAAGCUAAUCUCUUAAAGCCAAUCUCAGUUCGGAUUGUAGGCUGCAACUCGCCUACAUGAAGUCGGAAUCGCUAGUAAUCGCGGAUCAGCACGCCGCGGUGAAUACGUUCCCGGGCCUUGUACACACCGCCCGUCACACCACGAGAGUUUGUAACACCCGAAGUCGGUGAGGUAACCUUUUGGAGCCAGCCGCCUAAGGUGGGAUAGAUGAUUGGGGUGAAGUCGUAACAAGGUA